AUGGAUGCAGCAAGUUACUCAUAUACUGAACAUGGUUUUCAAGUUGCAAUGGAUGAGUUAAAGUCAGAGUGUGAAGCAGCUUGGGUGUGGCUUAGCAAAAUAACCAAACACACUUGGGCCAGACAUGCCAUGGAUGUGAACUGCAAGACUGACUUAGUUGUUAAUAAUCUAAGUGAGGUUUUCAAUAGGUGGGUCCUAGAUGUUAGGGCUAAGCCAAUAAGGACCAUGGUUGAUGGAAUUAGGACAAAGUUGAUGGUCAAAUUCAAUGCAAAUAGAACAAAAGUUGAUACUGUCAAAUGGGAGAUUUGUCCUACAUAUGCAGAGAAACUAGAAGAAGCAAAGAAGUGGUCUAGGAACUGCCAAUCCUUGAUGGCUGGACCACAUCUUUACCAAGUGACAAGUGCAGAGAAAACAUAUGUUGUUAACCUGCAGAAAAAGACUUGUGGGUGUAGGAAGUGGGAUAUGACAGCAGUGCCUUGCCAUCAUGCUGUCUCUGCCAUUCACAAAGCUAAGCUACAGCCAGAGGACUUUGUUCAUGAUUUUUUCAAAAAACCAAUGUACAAGGCUGCAUACAGUCCCAUAAUCUAUCCAGUACCUGGCCCUGACAUGUGGCCAAAGACAGACAGUAGGGACAUUGACCCUCUAGUCUUCAAAGAACACAAAGGUAGAGCACAAAUUAAGAGAAGAAAGGGCAGACAUGAGAAGCCAGCUCCAAAGGAAACUUCAAGGAUGGCCUCAAUCACUUGUUCCAAUUGCAGCAAAGUUGGCCAUAGAUACACAAACUGCCAUGUUCCUUUGAAGCCUGCACUAGCCAUGAGAAAGAACAGGCAUGAGCCAAGCAGCUCUUCUUACCCACCUGAUGCUGCUACUGCUGCCUCCUCUGUUGCACCAGCAAGAAGGGCUGCAUCUACUGCCACUGCACCAGCACCAGCAAGGAGGACUGCUUCUACUGCCACUGCACCAGCACCAGCAAGAAGGACAGCUUCUACUGCCACUGCACCAGCACCAGCAAGGAGGACUGCUUCUACUGCCACUGCAACAACACCAGCAAGGAGGACUCCAUCUACUACUGCCACUGCAACAACACCAUCAAGGAGGACUCCAUCUACUACCACUGCACCAUCAACAAGAACUGCUACUGCUGCUGCAAAGGGUAAGGCUCCACAAACUAGAGCUUCAACUAUUGCAAAGGGAGCAAGGGCAGCUUUCUUGCCUCCAAGACCAAACAGUGGUUCCCAGAGAGUCAGAAAGCCAACCCAGAAGAUAAAGGACUACCUGACUGCUUCUGGUGCAGCAUGGGAUUGA
rnacentral:rRNA from 1 species